CCAUUUAUAAUGCAUUAUUAGUUACAAGGGGAGGUUAGGGAUACCAAGCCAGUAAUUAAUAAUUGGCUCUUUUCGCCGAGGGGUCGGGUUAAGGCUAGACUAAGAAAGUUUGCAUGACAAUUAGAUAACAAAGCAAAUGAAAUAAGAGGAGUAGAUAAGAGAAAGUGGAUAAGAUGAAAUUGUAAACCCCAACAACUCCAUUCAUCCAUAGUCUUUUUCUUGUCAAUUGAAUCAAUCACAUUUGCAUGUUUAUUUAUUGUU
rnacentral:lncRNA from 1 species